AGUGAACGCUGGCGGCAGGCCUAACACAUGCAAGUCGAACGACAGCACAGUAAGAGCUUGCUCCUACGGGUGGCGAGUGGCGGACGGGUGAGGAAUACAUCGGAAUCUACUAUUUCGUGGGUGAUAACGGAGGGAAACUGACGCUAAUACCGCAUAUGACCUACGGGAGAAAGCAGUAGAUCAUCGGACCUUGCGCGUCACAUAUAGCCGAUGUCGCGUUAGCUAGUUGGCUGGGUAAGGGCCCACCAAGGCGAGGAUCCGUAGCUGGUCUGAGAGGAUGAUCAGCCACACUGGAACUGAGACACGGUCCAGACUCCUACGGGAGGCAGCAGUGGGGAAUAUUCGACAAUGGGCGAAAGCCUGAUCCAGCCAUCCCGCGUGGGUGAAGAAGGCCUUCGGGUUGUAAAGCCCUUUUGUUGGGAAAGAAAAGCAGCAGGUUAACACCCCGCUGUUCUGCCGGUACCCAAAGAAUAAGCACCGGCUAACUUCGU
rnacentral:rRNA from 1 species